UUCCGGUGAUCCUGCCGGACCUGACUGCUAUCGGAUUGGUACUAAGCCAUGUGAGUCGUUGUAGCAAUACAAGGCAUACGGCUCAGUAACACGUAGUCAAUCUAACCUAUGGACGGGGAUAACCUCGGGAAACUGAGGAUAAACCCCGAUAGAUCAUAAUGCCUGGAACGGUUUAUGGUCCAAAUGAUUCGUCGCCGUAGGGUGGGACUGCGGCCUAUCAGCUUGUUGGUGAGGUAAUGGCCCACCAAGGCUAUUACAGGUACGGGCUCUGAGAGGAGUAGCCCGGAGAUGGGUACUGAGACACGGACCCAGGCCCUAUGGGGCGCAGCAGGCGAGAAACCUUUGCAAUGUGCGCAAGCACGACAAGGUUAAUCCGAGUGUUUCCUGCUAAAGGAAUCUUUUGCUAGUCCUAAAAACACUAGCGAAUAAGGGGUGGGCAAGUUCUGGUGUCAGCCGCCGCGGUAAAACCAGCACCUCAAGUGGUCAGGAGGAUUAUUGGGCCUAAAGCAUCCGUAGCCUGCUCUGUAAGUUUCCGGUUAAAUCCAUUAGCUUAACUGAUGGGCCGCCGGAAAAACUGCAAAGCUAGGGAGUGGGAGAGGUAGACGGUACUCGGUAGGAAGGGGUAAAAUCCUUUGAUCUAUUGAUGACCACCUGUGGCGAAGCGGUCUACCAGAACACGUUCGACGGUGAGGGAUGAAAGCUGGGGGAGCAAACCGGAUUAGAUACCCGGGUAGUCCCAGCUGUAAACGAUGCAGACUCGGUGAUGCCCUGGCUUGUGGCCAGUGCAGUGCCGCAGGGAAGCCGUUAAGUUUGCCGCCUGGGAAGUACGUACGCAAGUAUGAAACUUAAAGGAAUUGGCGGG
rnacentral:rRNA from 1 species